UACGUAGGGGGCGAGCGUUGUCCGGAAUCAUUGGGCGUAAAGCGCGUGUAGGCGGUUCGGUAAGUCUGCUGUGAAAGUCCAGGGCUCAACCCUGGGAUGCCGGUGGAUACUGCUGAACUAGAGUGCGGAAGAGGCGAGUGGAAUUCCCGGUGUAGCGGUGAAAUGCGCAGAUAUCGGGAGGAACACCAAUUGCGAAGGCAGCUCGCUGGGACGUUACUGACGCUGAGGCGCGAAAGCGUGGGUAGCAAACGGG
rnacentral:rRNA from 1 species